CAUUAAAGAGUUCUAUAACUCCCAAACCCAUGUGAACAUACCUAACGUUGCCUCGGCAGGUCGCACCUACCUUGUAGCACCCUACCCUGUAGGGCCUACCCGGGAGGUGCGGGCAAGCCUGCCGGCGGCCCACCAAACUCUGUUUGAUAUUGAAUUCUGAACCUAUAACUAAAUAAGUUAAAACUUUCAACAACGGAUCUCUUGGUUCUGGCAUCGAUGAAGAACGCAGCGAAAUGCGAUAAGUAAUGUGAAUUGCAGAAUUCAGUGAAUCAUCGAAUCUUUGAACGCAUAUUGCGCCCAUUAGUAUUCUAGUGGGCAGGACCGUUCGAGCGUCAUUUCAACCCUUAAGCCUUCGUUGCUUAGUGUUGGGAGCCUACGGCAACGUAGCUCCUCAAAGUUAGUGGCGGAGUUGGUUCACACUCUAGACGUAGUAAUUUUUUAUCUCGCCUAUUAGUUGGACUAAUCCCCUGCCGUAAAACCCCUAAUUUAUCAAGGUUGACCUCGAAUCGGUUCAGACAAACUCGCUAAAUUGAAGCAUCUUAGUCAGCGAAGGAAAAGAAACCAACAGGGAUUGCCCUAGUAACGGCGAGUGAAGCGGCAACAGCUCAAAUUUGAAAUCUGGCCCUCGGGUC
rnacentral:rRNA from 1 species